GCUCGAUGAUGUUAACCUUCUAAGCUGAGCAAUUUGUAGUUGGUCCUUCAUUUGCACAGUUGAUGUAAGCCUGUUUCAAGACGGGGCUGAGGGCAGU